rnacentral:rRNA from 1 species
UACGGAGGGUGCAAACGUUGCUCGGAAUCACUGGGCGUAAAGGGCGUGUAGGCGGGACGGUAAGUCGGGCGUGAAAUCCCUAGGCUCAACCUAGGAACUGCACUCGAAACUACCAUUCUUGAGUGUCGGAGAGGAAAGCGGAAUUCCUGGUGUAGAGGUGAAAUUCGUAGAUAUCAGGAGGAACACCAGUGGCGAAGGCGGCUUUCUGGACGAUAACUGACGCUGAGACGCGAAAGCGUGGGGAGCAAACAGG